rnacentral:tRNA from 1 species
UGGUAGAGCGUUCGACUGCAGAUCGACAGGUCCCCGGUUCGAACCCGGGUGUCUCCU